CAUCUGUCCCAUCCCGGUGUCAGAAAUGACGAAUGAAGAAGAUUUCUUUUCACUUACAGGACCGCGCAUUUGGAUCGAGCUGCCGAGUCGUUUCCACUGACUGUAAAUCGAUCCCCAACGUGGAGUGUCUCGUAAGGCUUCUUUCCAAGGUACUUCAUCAAAGCUCCAAGCCCGAUCGACUUGUUUCCUAGAUGAUCAAAGACAUCGAAGUUAAAACGGAAAUCAAAGAAUGUGAAAACUUACCAACAUCCACAAAGACAUCUGCAUUCGGCAAAAAACAAGACACGAGGAAACGUUUAGAGCACAGGAAAAAAACUGUCGAGAAACUGUACAUACCACUGCCUCCGUUAAAAGCACAAAACGGUAGCUUGGACUCCACCAGAUGGACUUGAACAGUCAAAGCCAUCUCCUCCAGAACCUGAUAAAAUAGGAAUGAAUCAGUAACCAACAACACAAACCUUUGGCUACCUCGUAAAUCGUCGAGACUUUGGGGAUGACUCCGACGGCCCUUGGCUUCCGCACAAAAUGAACUGGCAAAUUCAAGCGUGCGGAGGCCGACUGGAGAGCGCCCUGGGCUUCAUCAAGGAGUUCUUCGAUUCCCUCUUCCGACCACUCUAGCAUAUCUUUCGACUUCCACAUGUCGUCUGGGACAAACUCGAGCCGGUACUUGUUGUUCACCCGGAGGAGAUAGUUGCAUUCUCCUCCCAUGACUUGAAAGUACCUGGUGACUCUGGAAGCAAGCUCAAGCUCUUCGAAGGCUGAAAGCAGUCCAGAAAAUCGGUCCUCGAAUUUUGUAGGAUCUCCCGGAUAGCCUGCACGCACAACGUAGUAAAUACAAGUUCUUUUUAUCGAAAGAACUUCACCAUACCAGCUGCUGUGAGAAUCGCAACGUGAAUACCACGUUGCAUUAGCUUGAUAAUGUGCGCGAUCAUCUUGUUAUCGCGCUCGAUGUGGUGACCAUCGGAGUAAAUGGUACCAUCGGCAUCAAAAGUUACCAGUGCCAGUUUUUCAGCAAUAGCAUGAACCUGUGGAAACGAAAGUUUAACGCAGGGAAGAAAGAAGAAAGAGUUUCUUUGCCGACCUGUGCGAUGUUUAUGACAUGACGAAUCUCUGCAAAGUUUGGAGGCACGUAUCUUCUCCUCGAGAGAGACGCAAAUUCAUCGUACUCAUGGAAAGCUCGGACGAGAGGCAAAGGUGUGUAGAACCUCCCGACGGAAGGAAUCAAUCUGCUCAGCGUGCUACGCAUGGGAUCUUCGCUGUGUUCUUUGAUCCAUCUCUCCAUUUUCUCCAUCACCUACACCACGCAAAGAAAAAAAAAAAAACAAUCGAUAAGAGAAAAAUCAAUGGUGUGGUCCAUCGAAAGAAAUAUCUUCUCUUCACUCUUCUCGCCAGAGUACCUGGAUGGGAGAAUGCGUGGAAUGGAGCGAGAUGAUAAACUCGAUGAGCCCAUCUUGCUCCUUCAAUCGACCUUUGCGCCGCAAGACGUGAGCAUCAGUGACGCUGCUAGCUCGCGAGACGUGAGCGUCCUCCAGCACCUCCCUACUGAGCAGCAUGCUCCAUCGCAUCUUGUGCUCGGACGAUCUGACCUCUGGAUCCCCGCCAUCGCCUUGUUCUUGCGAUAUUUCGACCCCAUUCCCUGCUGGCGCCGGCUCCUCCGCCCGGAUUUUCUCCAGCCGCUGAUUCAGAUCCACGCCGCCGGCGCUCUCCACGCCCACGGCAUUUGAGAUCGAGCACACCGAGCAGCGCUGCCGCCGCUUCCUCGCCAAGAAGAUCUGGAAACACUGCGAUUUGAGGCCGAUUUGGGGGAUACAUUUGCCGGUGAAUGCUGUGUGGAGUGUAUCGACGCCGCGCCCGCCGCCGGGAGAGGCCUGGAUCACAGCGAGCGCCAUGACCAGCUGGAGCAAAGGGUUUAGGGUUCUUGGCGGCCAUAUAUCACAAAAUAGAGAAUAUUCUCUUACAGCUAUUGGGAAUCUAAGGAUAAGCACUCCAGCUAGUGGGGAAGAUAGAAUUCACACGUUGUAUCCAUUGGCAUGUGCGAAUGCUUCUUUAGUACACUACAUCUUUUGUAAAGUCUUGCCAGUUCCCAAAGUUCUAUCCACAUCCACCAAAUUUUAAUCGAUGAACACUCUACAUUGAAAAAUUUUCAUACCUUUCUGCGAUUUCCUCGUGUUGCUGGAAUGUUGCUAUUUUUUCUUGCGCGUUUUGACCUUACCACCCAUUUUCACCUCCAAACCUUGGCAGCAUCUCGCUGAUGAUUUAAAGAUUAUCAAAGUGAAGGUACUUGAUAAGGAAGAAUAAAUCCAGCUAAUCCACAGCAAGAUACCUUAGAAGAGUCACCUGAAAAGAAAUGUCAAUCCAUGUCCAUGUCUAUGUUGCUUAAUAUUCAUCUCUUUUUGGCGUCGCAAUAUGAUAAUCAGCAUCUGAAAUUCGAUGCCAAGUAAAAACUACGGAUUUUGCGAUAAAACACGAUAUUGGAUAUAUCAAACGCGAUGUUAGAUACAUUAUAGGAUUCUGGUUCCUUGUUCAUCUCUAACAAGGUGCCACUUUAUAGAGCGCGAGAAGCCACAGGCACUGAUCAGUGGUAUUUUCUGACGAUCCCCCUCAGGUACUCCCAGCCUCCACUCUGAUACGCGAAGUCCUGCAGCGAUUCAUCCAGGCAUUCUUCCUCGAGUUGAGAGCAACUCUGGCUUGUUAUGUGCCACACCCUGAAAGGAACGUCACGGGUUCUGUCCACUGCCCGGCGCUCCACAAACAGCUGCUGUAGACCAGCGUGGUCUUUCCUGAGCAGCUCAACAAACUUGGUGUUGCCACACACGAAAACAAUCCUGAAGCAGCUAGCGUCUACGUCGAAGUCAGUGGCUGCUUCUGCAAACAGCUGAGCCGACUCCACACAUUCCGCAUCAUCCUGCUGGCCAUGGAGCUUGAGCCAUUCCGGAAUAACCUGCGAGCACAAAGAAGAAGAAUCAAUACUAUCGAUCAAGUAGAAACCUUCUUCAUUGAAAAUCACCUUCUUGCCUCGGGUUGGCAGCAUCGCCUUGAGUCGCCCAAACAAUGUAAUCACCCUCCAGCCCGGUACCUGGUCGUAGUUGUGGUGCACGAACAAGGCACCGAGGCGGAGACGCUUGGCCACCCAGGCGCCCAGCUCCGUUCCUCGGAGGUGAGCAUCGUUGAGCAUCUGGUAGGCAGCCUUGUCGCACACGAAGAUGUCGCUCGUCUUCCCAUCCUCGUCCAGAGGAGGGGCCCUGUUACGAACUGGAAAGAAGCCAUACUUCAUAGCCUCCACCUCGUCAAGUCCGCUGGGGUGGAGCUUGCCUGGAAUGGGAACCCAGCCAGUGGCCUCCUCCUUCUCCUCCGUGCAUGGACGCCUUGGGGAGGCGUCGCCCCUGCUGCUGCGCCUGCGCUUGGGGCUCCUGGAACGCGGCAUCUCGCCCGAGCGUGGCCUGCGGGAGCUAGAGGCAUCCAUUCUAUCGCCGUGCCUGCGCUUGCCCGAGCGUCGCCUGCGCAAGCUAGAGUCAUCCAUUCCAUGGUCGUCCCUGCUGCUAAGCCAGCGCUUUGGGAGCCCAGGUGGCCUGCGAUCCCGAGGCCCGCGCUCUGGCCUGGCAAUUGCGUGAACGUUGCCUUCGCGCCUCGUCGUCCUACCCAUGCCCUAAUCUCCGAGGUUAGGGCUGUUUGAUGAUUAGGAGUUAGAACUUGACGGUGAUUCUGAUGCCUUAAUUUCUACAUCGUUUGGCAGCGAGUGCAUUCUUGGAUUCGCUACUGCACUUUGUUUGAAUUUCACAGCAGCGUUUUCCUUGGAACAAAUGAAAUCAAAGGUUAUCUAGCAGCCUUUUGGAUUGAAGCCUUGUGGAUGCACAAUCCACAAUGCAGUUUCAAGUGGCAACAAACAGCAUCUAAGAACUCGAGAGUUGUGCAUGAGAGUUGUGCAAUCAAGGUGAAGAUUGCCAUCCAAAGAACCCUAAACAGCAGCAAAGUCCCAGUAAUCUUGCAGAAUACCUAGUAUGUCUCCAUAGAAGAAAGGAAAUUGACUGGUAGCUGCUGGACUAGCAAACAAUUUUCAACUUCUCCAUUGGCAGAGGUUUGUUGCAUUAAUAUUUUCUAUCUAGAGACAUCACUGUUUUUGGUUUUGGAUGGUGAAGGUUAUGACAAGGGAAGAAUUAGACAUCUGGAAAAAUACUCCCUAAGUUUCUUGUAAGAGAACUUUACUUCUCUUUUGUUCUACUUCCUGUCUAUAUUCUGAAACGGUUUGACAGGUGCAAAAUGGUUGCUUGUGGCUAUUCACAACAAAAAUAUGGAAAGUAUGAGUGUAUUUUCUCACAUCAGCAGCCACACACACGAGGCAAUUGCUGGUAAAGCUCUUUCCAUUCUUCUAUAAGCGUUUUGUGUUUAGUUUUUUAUUGAAAUAGUGAAGUUAUGAAUUGAAACAAAUAGCAAGAAAGNNNNNNNNNNNNNNNNNNNNNNNNNNNNNNNNNNNNNNNNNNNNNNNNNNNNNNNNNNNNNNNNNNNNNNNNNNNNNNNNNNNNNNNNNNNNNNNNNNNNGAGUGUCUCGUAAGGCUUCUUUCCAAGGUACUUCAUCAAAGCUCCAAGCCCGAUCGACUUGUUUCCUAGAUGAUCAAAGACAUCGAAGUUAAAACGGAAAUCAAAGAAUGUGAAAACUUACCAACAUCCACAAAGACAUCUGCAUUCGGCAAAAAACAAGACACGAGGAAACGUUUAGAGCACAGGAAAAAAACUGUCGAGAAACUGUACAUACC
rnacentral:lncRNA from 1 species